rnacentral:tRNA from 1 species
GGUUUUAUAGUUGAAUAACAACGCUAAAUUGCAAACUUAGAGGUGUAAAAAAUUACUGAAACUU